GAUGAACGCUAGCGGCAGGCCUAAUACAUGCAAGUCGAACGAGAUUAAGAGGCUUGCUUCUUAUGAAAGUGGCGCACGGGUGCGUAACGCGUAUGCAACCUACCUUAAUCAGGGGGAUAGCCCGAAGAAAUUCGGAUUAAGACCGCAUAAAAACACAGGAUAGCAUUAUCCAUUGUUCAAAUAUUUAUAGGAUUAAGAUGGGCAUGCGUGUCAUUAGCUAGUUGGCGGGGUAACGGCCCACCAAGGCGACGAUGACUAGGGGAUCUGAGAGGAUGACCCCCCACACUGGUACUGAGACACGGACCAGACUCCUACGGGAGGCAGCAGUAAGGAAUAUUGGUCAAUGGAGGGAACUCUGAACCAGCCAUGCCGCGUGCAGGAAGACAGCCCUCUGGGUCGUAAACUGCUUUUAUUCGGGAAUAAACCUUUCUACGUGUAGGAAGCUGAAUGUACCGAAGGAAUAAGGAUCGGCUAACUCCGUG
rnacentral:rRNA from 1 species